GACUUUACUCUAUGCCGGAUCGUCUGACUGGUUCCCUCGUCAUCUACUCUUCAUUUUGGACCAUGACUGCCUGUUUCUAUUCUGCUCAAAACCUCCAGACUCUGAACUAACCAAUCUGCCAGCUAAGUUUGCUUUAUGCUGGAAGAGAAAAGGCAGAUCGUUCAGCCACCUCUAGAGGGCAGUCUUCCUCUAUAGAUGACCCCAGAGCUGCAUGGAUCACUCGGUGGCCCAGUCAAACAGGAAUUCAAAGUUGAACGCCGGCAUCAACAAAUCCUCCACAACUUCAGACACCACAGUUCCUCAAGGCAAAACUGGUCAGAGGCUGCAGAUUAAAUCAGCCCAGCUGUCUCUAAUUUAGUGGCGACUUCCAGCAGCUCACUCCUGGUUUGACCCCCACAACUUGUCCAAUAACUUCACCAAGUGCCAGAUGACCUCAGUGAAGAAGAGUCUGUACAGGUGUG